CUUGGAAAUGAUAAAGCCAUUGCAUUGCUGAAGCAGAAGAGUAGAUAUAUAUGGGAGUUGCAUGCAUUGACAUUCCGAAAUCCAAAUGGGUUGAAACAGGUUUAAAAAUGCAGGUUACUGAGCUUGACAUUAAACCAUUUGUGAACUGUUUUCCUCUCAAUUGGACUACAGGGGUUGCAACUAGCCAUAGAAACAGGGGAUUUUCUUGAAUUCAGCCAUGUUGAUUCUACUUACAAGAUAAGCAGGUUUGAGUACUGGAUAUUAUGUUGUGCAGACGUGAUGUAUUAAAUUAUCAGAGCUGCUCAACUGAGCUUGAACCCAAAGAUUACAUCCAGCCAGAUCUAAAUAUUUUCAACAUUGAAUAUUGGUCUGCACAUCAUAGAUAUGGGUAUUCAAGAAUAAGCUGGGAAAAACAUGUUAGAGAAUUAGAAGAACUUCCAUAUGAUGACCCUGGCAGUCGCAGAUUCUGCGUAAAGUAUAAACUAUGAACACCUGACUUGGUGAUUUAUGUUAGAUUGCUACAAGUUAUAGUUACUGAAAGGAUGUAUGACUGGUGAAAAGGAUGUUUUAUAAGCCUUGUAACCAUUUCUUUGUACAUUACCAAG